UUGACGGGACCCGCACAAGCGGCGGAGCAUGCGGAUUAAUUCGAUGCAACGCGAAGAACCUUACCAAGGCUUGACAUAUAGAGGAAACGUCUGGAAACAGUCGCCCCGCAAGGUCUCUAUACAGGUGGUGCAUGGUUGUCGUCAGCUCGUGUCGUGAGAUGUUGGGUUAAGUCCCGCAACGAGCGCAACCCUCGUUCUAUGUUGCCAGCACGUAAUGGUGGGAACUCAUGGGAUACUGCCGGGGUCAACUCGGAGGAAGGUGGGGAUGACGUCAAAUCAUCAUGCCCCUUAUGUCUUGGGCUUCACGCAUGCUACAAUGGCCGGUACAAAGGGCUGCAAUACCGUAAGGUGGAGCGAAUCCCAAAAAGCCGGUCCCAGUUCGGAUUGAGGUCUGCAACUCGACCUCAUGAAGUCGGAGUCGCUAGUAAUCGCAGAUCAGCAACGCUGCGGUGAAUACGUUCCCGGGCCUU
rnacentral:rRNA from 1 species